CAUCAAAUCGUACCCCAAACCGACACAGGUGGUCAGGUAGAGAAUACCAAGGCGCUUGAGAGAACUCGGGUGAAGGAACUAGGCAAAAUGGUGCCGUAACUUCGGGAGAAGGCACGCUGAUAUGUAGGUGAAGUCCCUCGCGGAUGGAGCUGAAAUCAGUCGAAGAUACCAGCUGGCUGCAACUGUUUAUUAAAAACACAGCACUGUGCAAACACGAAAGUGGACGUAUACGGUGUGACGCCUGCCCGGUGCCGGAAGGUUAAUUGAUGGGGUUAGCGGUAACGCGAAGCUCUUGAUCGAAGCCCCGGUAAACGGCGGCCGUAACUAUAACGGUCCUAAGGUAGCGAAAUUCCUUGUCGGGUAAGUUCCGACCUGCACGAAUGGCGUAAUGAUGGCCAGGCUGUCUCCACCCGAGACUCAGUGAAAUUGAACUCGCUGUGAAGAUGCAGUGUACCCGCGGCAAGACGGAAAGACCCCGUGAACCUUUACUAUAGCUUGACACUGAACAUUGAGCCUUGAUGUGUAGGAUAGGUGGGAGGCUUUGAAGUGUGGACGCCAGUCUGCAUGGAGCCGGCCUUGAAAUACCACCCUUUAAUGUUUGAUGUUCUAACGUUGGCCCCUGAUCGGGGUUGCGGACAGUGUCUGGUGGGUAGUUUGACUGGGGCGGUCUCCUCCUAAAGAGUAACGGAGGAGCACGAAGGUUGGCUAAUCCUGGUCGGACAUCAGGAGGUUAGUGCAAUGGCAUAAGCCAGCUUGACUGCGAGCGUGACGGCGCGAGCAGGUGCGAAAGCAGGUCAUAGUGAUCCGGUGGUUCUGAAUGGAAGGGCCAUCGCUCAACGGAUAAAAGGUACUCCGGGGAUAACAGGCUGAUACCGCCCAAGAGUUCAUAUCGACGGCGGUGUUUGGCACCUCGAUGUCGGCUCAUCACAUCCUGGGGCUGAAGUAGGUCCCAAGGGUAUGGCUGUUCGCCAUUUAAAGUGGUACGCGAGCUGGGUUUAGAACGUCGUGAGACAGUUCGGUCCCUAUCUGCCGUGGGCGCUGGAGAACUGAGGGGGGCUGCUCCUAGUACGAGAGGACCGGAGUGGACGCAUCACUGGUGUUCGGGUUGUCAUGCCAAUGGCACUGCCCGGUAGCUAAAUGCGGAAGAGAUAAGUGCUGAAAGCAUCUAAGCACGAAACUUGCCCCGAGAUGAGUUCUCCCUGACUCCUUGAGAGUCCUGAAGGAACGUUGAAGACGACGACGUUGAUAGGCCGGGUGUGUAAGCGCAGCGAUGCGUUGAGCUAACCGGUACUAAUGAACCGUGAGGCUUAACC
rnacentral:rRNA from 1 species